UUCGAGUUAUUUAAGGAUGCUUGAAAUGUGAAUAUCUAGAUCUAGUUGUCCUGGUUAAUUUCUAACUUAGCAUUCUGCUGGAAAUCAAUGUUUUUCUUCUUCUCUAGAUUCGUAUAAAGAUAGUUGUUAGUUGAUUAACUGAAAAAAUUACUUGUAGCGUCCUUAGUAUAAGUUUUCUUUGGAGUAGGACUAGGAUGUCUGACCCCCUAGGAUGUCCUCGUGUUGCAUCCACCGUGUUAUCGAAGUAUAAGUUUCCUCUCUGUUUGAGUGCCCUUAGUAUAAGUUUUUUCUGACGGUUGUUGAAUUAAAAAUUCUUAUUCUGCUCAAGUGCUUCCUUUAGACCAGCAUAAAUUAUCAUUGUCAAUGAACUUGUAUCCUUUAUAAAGUCUUAGACGUGCUAGAUUGUUCCUGCAGGUAUAUUGGUGGAGCGUCAGAAGAUCAGGACGUUGUAGCAGAGAAAGAUCUGGAUCAUUUUCUGCAACUUCAAGAUGGGUGCACCCUCUCGAGCUUUUCAAAGGCGAGACAAACCUAGGUGUGUAGACCUGUACUUUACAAGUUGGGUUGUUAAGCCUGGUAAGUGGUGCCAUUUCUAGUGGAUGUACAAAACGAUAAAUCAACUUUGCCAAUUGUCUAGGACACCAUAGCUUAAGAUCUACUUAAAGUGUGCACUUGUAAGGAAUCAAAGAAAGGGGAUGGACACCUAUCUGCAUGUGAGAUCACACUAGUUCAGUAUGAAGAUUUGGGCAUGUUAGGAGUUCGUCAGGGGCUCUGUGGUACUGUCAAGAAGUUGCACAAUGGCCUCCGAGCAUAUCAGAACGCGAGGAAGUCAGAGGCAGCGGUUUCCAGGUGUGCAAUGAUGGCAAGAAUCACUGCAAAAAUAUCAUCUGAUGUAGGUACUGGUACUUUGGAGCGAGUCUCUGGUGAAGAAGAGAAACGUGAGACUAACGAUAUCCAGGGUCAGAGAGGAGGUGGUGGCAUCAAGUGGAAAUACGGGAAGUAUUCCUACGCUGUUGAUUUGAGCUUUGACCACGUUCCAUUUCUUAAGUGUUCCUUCUUUGGGUUAGCUUCCGAGGGAACAAGUUUUCUGUUUCACUAACUCCACGGGGAUUAAUUUCAUCACAGUUUCAAAUGGACAAACAAUUAUUUUACACGGAGAGUGUUUUUGUUGUUGUUAGUAGUGUGAAUUUCGUGUUCUCAAUUUGGAUAGUUAUGGUUUCUAACUUAUGUAUUAGAUCAUUUUGACAAGCAUCACAGAGAUCAAAUUGUUCACUUCUCUUGACUAGAACAUUUCCAUGUAUAGACUGCAUCUUAUGUUCAUGUCAACAUUUUGAUAUGAAAAUCUAAAGUUGGGUUGACUAAAAUUGUCUUGAA